rnacentral:rRNA from 1 species
CGGCGAGUGAAGCGGCAACAGCUCAAAUUUGAAAUCUGGCCCUCGGGUCCGAGUUGUAAUUUGCAGAGGAUGCUUCGGGCGAGGCUUUGAUCGAGUCCCCUGGAAUGGGGCGCCACAGAGGGUGAGAGCCCCGUAUGAUCAGCCGCCGAACCCGUGUGAAGCUCCUUCGACGAGUCGAGUAGUUUGGGAAUGCUGCUCUAAAUGGGAGGUAAAUUUCUUCUAAAGCUAAAUACCGGCCAGAGACCGAUAGCGCACAAGUAGAGUGAUCGAAAGAUGAAAAGCACUUUGAAAAGAGAGUUAAAAAGCACGUGAAAUUGUUGAAAGGGAAGCGCCUAUGACCAGACUCGGGCUCUUGGGAUCAUCCGCCCUUCUGGGCGGUGCACUCCCUCGUUCUCGGGCCAGCAUCGGUUCUCCUCGGGGGAUAAAGGCGCCAGGAACGUGGCUCCCUUCGGGGAGUGUUAUAGCCUGGCGCGUCAUGCUCCGGGGGGGACCGAGGACCGCGCUUCGGCAUGGAUGCUGGCGUAAUGGUCACCGGCGACCCGUCUUGAAACACGGACCAAGGAGUCAAGCAUUAGGGCGAGUGUACGGGUGUAAAACCCGAACGCGCAGUGAAAGCGAACGCUGGUGAGAGCUUCGGCGCAUCACCGACCGAUCCUGAAGUCUUCGGAUGGAUUUGAGUAGGAGCCUUAACGCUUGGACCCGAAAGAUGGUGAACUAUGCCUGAAUAGGGUGAAGCCAGAGGAAACUCUGGUGGAGGCUCGCAGCGGUUCUGACGUGCAAAUCGAUCGUCAAAUUUGGGCAUAGGGGCGAAAGACUAAUCGAACCAUCUAGUAGCUGGUUACCGCCGAAGUUUCCCUCAGGAUAGCAGUGUUGUCUUCAGUUUUAUGAGGUAAAGCGAAUGAUUAGGGACUCGGGGGCGCUAUUAUGCCUUCAUCCAUUCUCAAACUUUAAAUAUGUAA